AGAGAUGAUCGUACUUAUGGAAACUCAGAUGCCUUGCACUGCUGCCGGAUCAAGGAUGGAGUGAACUAAAACACUUUGCUAUUACAACUAGCCCUCCCUGUUCCAUGAAUCGACAGGGGAAGAAUUGGCAAUGCUAAAUUGGUGAGAAGAGAGCAAGAGGAAGAUGAUGAGUUGACAUGGAAAAGCGACUUGCGAUAUGUUCAGCGGAUCACCAUGUCAAGGAAUGAGCAGUUAAAUAAGAGUCUUUUCGACAAAAGUAAGAGGGAGUAUUUCAUAACUGAACAUGUUUUAUGUACAAUCUGUUACUGACUGGCAUUGUGAAAAACGCAGAGAAAAAUGAAGCCUGAGGACGCUAUCAGCCUUUCCUGUCAAGUAUUGGCCACUACUAUCUGCAUUAGCUUCACCUCAGAACAUGCCCUUUUUCACUUGGAGAGAGGAAGUAGGAGUUCUCAGUGAUGAUCAUCUACAAGAUAUCAUACAUGUUUGUUGAUUGACUAACAAAGACAAAGGCCGUACCGUUAUUGAUGUUUCUAUAGCAUUGUUUCCAGCUGCUGUAAC
rnacentral:rRNA from 1 species